CGGGGCUCAGAAGUCUGACGGAGCACGCCGCGUGAGUGAUGAAGGCUUUCGGGUCGUAAAACUCUGUUGUUAGGGAAGAACAAGUGCUAGUUGAAUAAGCUGGCACCUUGACGGUACCUAACCAGAAAGCCACGGCUAACUACGUGCCAGCAGCCGCGGUAAUACGUAGGUGGCAAGCGUUAUCCGGAAUUAUUGGGCGUAAAGCGCGCGCAGGUGGUUUCUUAAGUCUGAUGUGAAAGCCCACGGCUCAACCGUGGAGGGUCAUUGGAAACUGGGAGACUUGAGUGCAGAAGAGGAAAGUGGAAUUCCAUGUGUAGCGGUGAAAUGCGUAGAGAUAUGGAGGAACACCAGUGGCGAAGGCGACUUUCUGGUCUGUAACUGACACUGAGGCGCGAAAGCGUGGGGAGCAAACAGGAUUAGAUACCCUGGUAGUCCACGCCGUAAACGAUGAGUGCUAAGUGUUAGAGGGUUUCCGCCCUUUAGUGCUGAAGUUAACGCAUUAAGCACUCCGCCUGGGGAGUACGGCCGCAAGGCUGAAACUCAAGAAAAUUGACCGG
rnacentral:rRNA from 1 species